rnacentral:rRNA from 6 species
GAAUGCUGACAUAAGUAACGAUAAAGCGGGUGAAAAGCCCGCUCGCCGGAAGACCAAGGGUUCCUGUCCAACGUUAAUCGGGGCAGGGUGAGUCGACCCCUAAGGCGAGGCCGAAAGGCGUAGUCGAUGGGAAACGGGUUAAUAUUCCCGUACUUGGUGUUACUGCGAAGGGGGGACGGAGAAGGCUAUGUUGGCCGGGCGACGGUUGUCCCGGUUUAAGCGUGUAGGUGUGUGUUCCAGGUAAAUCCGGUUCACUUUAAC